AAGUCGUAACAAGGUUUCCGUAGGUGAACCUGCGGAAGGAUCAUUAACGAGAGAAUGCUACUGUUCUACUGCGGUAGAGUGUAGUAGUCAUUUAAUAAUGAUAAUUUGUUGAACGAUAGUCGCUCGUUUUAGCGUAAAGCUAAAAACAUAAUUAUGUUAACGAGUAUGCUAGUUGGUUAAUGAUGUGCGUGCGCGCUUAAUUGCGUGCAUGUACAUAGAGCGACCGAACUACUGACUGCUGCUCGGGGUACGGCCAGUAGUGUAAUGCUACGGUGAGUCGUACCUGUGUCAUUUUUAAAUUUGAGUAAUAAAAUUCGCGUACGCGUGUUUAAGCGAGUACGUGUAGACUUGUGAAAGAGAGAAUAAUAAUAAAAUGCAUAACUGCAAACGGUGGAUCACUCGGCUCACG
rnacentral:misc_RNA from 1 species